rnacentral:rRNA from 1 species
AGUGAAUGCUGGCGGUAGGCCUAACACAUGCAAGUCGAACGGCAGCACAGUAAGAGCUUGCUCUUACUGGUGGCGAGUGGCGGACGGGUGAGGAAUACAUCGGAAUCUACUUUUUCGUGGGGGAUAACGUAGGGAAACUUACGCUAAUACCGCAUACGACCUACGGGGGAAAGCAGGGGAUCUUCCGACCUUGCGCGAUUGAAUGAGCCGAUGUCGGAUUAGCUAGUUGGCGGGGUAAAGGCCCACCAAGGCGACGAUCCGUAGCUGGUCUGAGAGGAUGAUCAGCCACACUGGAACUGAGACACGGUCCAGACUCCUACGGGAGGCAGCAGUGGGGAAUAUUGGACAAAGGGCGCAAGCCUGAUCCAGCCAUACCGCGUGGGUGAAGAAGGCCUUCGGGUUGUAAAGCCCUUUUGUUGGGAAAGAAAAGCAGCAGGUUAAUACCCCGCUGUUCUGACGGUACCCAAAGAAUAAGCACCGGCUAACUUCGUG